ensembl:snoRNA
CUAGAGUCAGUCAUGCUCAAGUAUCAGUUGUUGCCUUAGUGUGCUAGUGUCCUCAAAGAAUAACUGCUGACCUUAUUUACUGUCUGUGGGCUUUCUGACACAGUCAGUCACAAAAAAAGAAAAGAAA